UUUUCCGGCGGCUACCGGGAAGUCGCUGAAGACAGAGCGAUGGUAGUUCUGGAGGCCUCGCUCCGGGGCCGACCCGAGGCCACAGUGCCUCCGCGGUAGACCGGACUUGGGUGACGGGCUCCGGGCUCCCGAGGGAUGGAAGGGUCUAAGACGUCCAACAACAGCACCAUGCAGGUGAGCUUCGUGUGCCAGCGCUGCAGCCAGCCCCUGAAACUGGACACGAGUUUCAAGAUCCUGGACCGUGUCACCAUCCAGGAACUCACAGGUCAGCGAGACCCUUGGAAAGAGGGUGGUCAAGAAUGUGGAAGCUCCAUUACUUACCACAGCCCAGGCGAAACCAGGAGAGACCCAGGAGGAAGAGACUAACUCAGGAGAGGAGCCAUUUAUUGAAACUCCUCGCCAGGAUGGUGUCUCUCGCAGAUUCAUCCCCCCAGCCAGGAUGAUGUCCACAGAAAGUGCCAACAGCUUCACUCUGAUUGGGGAGGCAUCUGAUGGCGGCACCAUGGAGAACCUCAGCCGAAGACUGAAGGUCACUGGGGACCUUUUUGACAUCAUGUCG
rnacentral:lncRNA from 1 species